rnacentral:rRNA from 1 species
AGAGUUUGAUCCUGGCUCAGAGUGAACGCUGGCGGCAUGCCUAACACAUGCAAGUCGAACGGUAACAGGCCCGCAAGGGUGCUGACGAGUGGCGGACGGGUGAGGAAUACAUCGGAAUCUGCCCGGUUGUGGGGGAUAACGUAGGGAAACUUACGCUAAUACCGCAUACGACCGAAAGGUGAAAGCGUGGGAUCCGCAAGGACCUCGCGCAGCCGGAUGAGCCGAUGUCGGAUUAGCUAGUUGGCGGGGUAAAGGCCCACCAAGGCGACGAUCCGUAGCUGGUCUGAGAGGAUGAUCAGCCACACUGGGACUGAGACACGGCCCAGACUCCUACGGGAGGCAGCAGUGGGGAAUAUUGGACAAUGGGGGCAACCCUGAUCCAGCAAUGCCGCGUGUGUGAAGAAGGCCUUCGGGUUGUAAAGCACUUUUAUCCGGAACGAAACGCGCAGGGUGAAUAGCCUUUGCGAACUGACGGUACCGGAGGAAUAAGCACCGGCUAACUUCGUGCCAGCAGCCGCGGUAAUACGAAGGGUGCAAGCGUUACUCGGAAUUACUGGGCGUAAAGCGUGCGUAGGUGGUUUGUUAAGUCUGCUGUGAAAGCCCCGGGCUCAACCUGGGAAUGGCAGUGGAUACUGGCAAGCUAGAGUGCGGUAGAGGGUAGUGGAAUUCCCGGUGUAGCGGUGAAAUGCGUAGAGAUCGGGAGGAACACCAGUGGCGAAGGCGGCUACCUGGACCAGCACUGACACUGAGGCACGAAAGCGUGGGGAGCAAACAGGAUUAGAUACCCCCGUAGUCC